CUGCCCGUAGCUCAGUUGGAUAGAGCAUCAGCCUUCUAAGCUGAGGCCUGUCGGGCAGGCCA
rnacentral:tRNA from 1 species